AAAUAAUAUAGGUGGGACAGUAAGAAAUUUUUACGUGGAAUUGGGGAAGAUGUCCACGCGCAUGAAUGUAUUGACGAGAUUUCCACUGUUUCUAACUACUAUCUCGCGAAACUACAGCAGCGGAAACGGGAUCGGGAAAGUAGCGGGAAAAAGACCACGCUGAGCCUGAUUCUAGUUUGACAUUGUUAGGAGUCAUGUUAUAUCACCACUUUCAUCGAUUCUUUAUCUGGAGAGAAGAGGAUUGAGUUUCAGCUCUUUUUUCUUUGUGUGCCCUGAGGUUAGCUCGGAUAGGACGGAGACUUCUCUUAGAGCAAAAGAGGAAAAGGUGAAAAGGUCGCUUGAUGUUGAUCUUCGACACGAGUACAGAGUGAGAAAGCGUGCUCUAUCCAUCCUUUUAAUAGAGAUAGUUUCUGGAAAGAGCUACCAGAAAAGUUAUCACAGGGAUAACCGGUUGUGGCAGCCAAGAGUCCAUAGCGGCGUUUCUUUUUGAUCUUUCGAUGUGGGCUUUUCCUAUCAUUGCGCAGUAGAAUUCGCCAAGCGUUAGAUUCUACAUCUACAAACAGAGGACG
rnacentral:ncRNA from 1 species